rnacentral:rRNA from 1 species
ACCCUCCUAACAGCUAGCCCCCUCCCCCAAAAACAACAAACCUAAUUAAUAACCCCUUAAUAACAACAUAAAAUACAACAAACCAUUUUUCCCCCCAAGUAUGGGCGACAGAAAAG